CCUACGGGUGGCAGCAGUGAGGAAUAUUGGUCAAUGGACGCAACUCUGAACCAGCCAUGUCGCGUGCAGGAUGACGGCCCUAUGAGUUGUAAACUGCUUUUGUACGAGGGUAAACCCCGACACGUGUAUCGGGUUGCAAGUAUCGCACGAAUAAGGAUCGGCUAACUCCGUGCCAGCAGCCGCGGUAAUACGGAGGAUCCGAGCGUUAUCCGGAUUUAUUGGGUUUAAAGGGUGCGUAGGCGGUUUGUUAAGUUAGAGGUGAAAUGCCGGGGCUCAACCCCGGAACUGCCGCUCAAACUGGUGGACUAGAGAGUGGUUGCGGUAGGCGGAAUGUAUGGUGUAGCGGUGAAAUGCUUAGAGAUCAUGCAGAACACCGAUUGCGAAGGCAGCUUACCAAAGUAUAACUGACGUUGAGGCACGAAGGCGUGGGUAGCGAACAGGAUUAGAUACCCUAGUAGUC
rnacentral:rRNA from 1 species